AUUCACGAUAUUGUGCAGCCAUCGUCUCUAUCUGAUUCCAAACAUUUUCGUCACCCACAGAGGAGACCCCUUAACCAGUAAGUAGUCACUUCCCAUUCCCACCUCCCCUCAGCCACUGGCAACCUCUAGUCCGCUUUCUGUUUCUAUGGAUUCAUCUAUUCUGAAAAUUUGAUAUAAAUGGAACCCUACAUCACUUGACAUUCUGUGUCUAGGUUCUUUUGCUUCACAUAUGUUGUUUCUCUUUAAGACCAAGGAGACAAUGGGAAGGAGCCAGUCGAGGAGGCAGAAGUUGAAAACACAGGAGACAAGGAGAGGGUUCACCAAGGAUCUCUGCUCUGAACAGUCCCUCAGAGUCCCAGGCUGACAAAGGUGCCCCGUCUCGCGUGUUGCCAGGGGCUUUGCCAGAGUGAGAGAGAUUGGCCAGUCGUGUGCCGGCUCUUGAAGCUCCUGUCUGGCACCUCGGUUCCCUCCACUCUCCUCACCAAGGCAAGUGAUGGAGCCACACCCGACUUCAAGGUGCGGGGAAGGACCAUCCAUCAUGCGCCAGGAGGAGUACUAAAUGUAUUUGGUGGCCACACUAAUGACCCCCACCUAGUUCACAGAAUCAGCAGGGUUGGACAAAGAGGCAGGAAACCAGGCUGGGAGGAGAUGCUGCCCGUAUCACAGCCCACAUACUGCUGCCUCCAGAGACCGGGCUCUCAGGAAGUCCCCAGCCAGUGCCCCUGGUAGACCAGGCCUCCCUGCGAAAGAUUAGGAGAACACGUGCAGCCCUGGGUGGUAAAACAGAGAAUGAAGGCAAACACA
rnacentral:lncRNA from 1 species